AUCUAUGUUAGUUAUUAAUAGCUGUUACAUCCAUUCAUCCCAGCCAUAAUCUUUUGCUUACUCUAAAUCCCUCCCUCUAUUUCACCCUCCACAGCCAAUCAAACACGAUGUUGUGUCAAUACUACUUUCUCAAAUACUUUGACCCUUCCCUUUUCUAUCCUCCAGGACUUGGGAGCACAGCCAUCUGUUUGGCCUAGAUUAUUGCUCUUUGCUCCAAUUAUCAUGGCCUCCAAUUUACCCCAAUACUGCCCUUCCUGCCUGAGUAAUACUUCUAGAGGGCAAACUAGGUUUUCACUUUCCUGCUAAUGAAACAUCAUAAUUCCUUACCUCUUUCAGACACAAAGUUUAGCAUCUUUAAUUUUUCUUACAAGUAUCCUCAGGUGAAGCCUCUGUGUUUUUCUCUACACUUUGCCUUUCCCCUUUGUAUGCUAGGCUGUGGCCACAGAGAGCUAUUUAAAUUUCCCAAACGAUAAGCAGGAGGCAUCUUUAAGACAGAAAAGAGUGUUGAGACUGAAAAAGGUAUUAUUUGCUGAGAAGUAGAAUAUGCAGGGGCAUGAGGAAAUAGGGCUUGGAUGGGAAUUUUCUA